rnacentral:rRNA from 1 species
GUCGAACGGCAGCACGAGAGAGCUUGCUCUCUUGGUGGCGAGUGGCGGACGGGUGAGUAAUAUAUCGGAACGUGCCCAGUAGCGGGGGAUAACUACUCGAAAGAGUGGCUAAUACCGCAUACGCCCUACGGGGGAAAGGGGGGGAUCGCAAGACCUCUCACUAUUGGAGCGGCCGAUAUCGGAUUAGCUAGUUGGUGGGGUAAAGGCUCACCAAGGCAACGAUCCGUAGCUGGUUUGAGAGGACGACCAGCCACACUGGGACUGAGACACGGCCCAGACUCCUACGGGAGGCAGCAGUGGGGAAUUUUGGACAAUGGGGGAAACCCUGAUCCAGCCAUCCCGCGUGUAUGAUGAAGGCCUUCGGGUUGUAAAGUACUUUUGGCAGAGAAGAAAAGGCAUCCCCUAAUACGGGAUGCUGCUGACGGUAUCUGCAGAAUAAGCACCGGCUAACUACGUGCCAGCAGCCGCGGUAAUACGUAGGGUGCAAGCGUUAAUCGGAAUUACUGGGCGUAAAGCGUGUGUAGGCGGUUCGGAAAGAAAGAUGUGAAAUCCCAGGGCUCAACCUUGGAACUGCAUUUUUAACUGCCGAGCUAGAGUAUGUCAGAGGGGGGUAGAAUUCCACGUGUAGCAGUG